GGAAGUGGGAUGACGUCAAUCAUCAUGCCUUUAUGACCUGGGCUACACACGUGCUACAAUGGAUGGUACAGAGAGCAGCGAGGCAGCGAUGUGGAGCGAAUCUCAAAAAGCCAUUCUCAGUUCGGAUUGGAGUCUGCAACUCGACUCCAUGAAGUCGGAAUCGCUAGUAAUCGCGAAUCAGCAUGUCGCGGUGAAUGCGUUCCCGGGCCUU
rnacentral:rRNA from 1 species